rnacentral:rRNA from 1 species
AUUGAACGCUGGCGGCAGGCCUAACACAUGCAAGUCGAACGGUAGCACAGAGAGCUUGCUCUCGGGUGACGAGUGGCGGACGUGUGAGUAAUGUCUGGGAAACUGCCCGGUGGAGGGGGAUAACUACUGGAAACGGUAGCUAAUACCGCAUAACGUCGCAAGACCAAAGUGGGGGACCUUCGGGCCUCACACCAUCGGAUGUGCCCAGAUGGGAUUAGCUAGUAGGUGGGGUAAUGGCUCACCUAGGCGACGAUCCCUAGCUGGUCUGAGAGGAUGACCAGCCACACUGGAACUGAGACACGGUCCAGACUCCUACGGGAGGCAGCAGUGGGGAAUAUUGCACAAUGGGCGCAAGCCUGAUGCAGCCAUGCCGCGUGUAUGAAGAAGGCCUUCGGGUUGUAAAGUACUUUCAGCGGGGAGGAAGGCGGUGAGGUUAAUAACCUUGCCGAUUGACGUUACCCGCAGAAGAAGCACCGGCUAACUCCGUGCCAGCCGCCGCGGUAA